rnacentral:lncRNA from 10 species
CAUCACUGAGGACAUCAGGGGAGGAGGGCAUGAGGAGAGGCUGACUAAGCCAGUCUUUGAGCAUUCAGAACUGAUCAUCCUUUUAUCUGUUGUCUGAAAGACAUGCCAAAAAUAUGAUUUUGGUGCCAUCUUGUUCCCUAAAGCUCUUCUCUGGGGGUAUAUUAGAGAGAAUUCCAAUUAACACUGCCGAGAGCUGAACACUUAACACUUCAACAAGCCCAUGAGGGAGGCACAAUUGAUAUCCCAGUUUUGCAGAUGUGAAGACUCAGGCUUACAGAGGUCUGCUGCUGUAAUGCAUGUUCCCUCUGCACUGAUUUUGUGGAUAGGAUGUAGGGACCAGACGCUGGAGGCACUGCCUCAAUACCUGCCUGCCUGAGUUAGGAAUCAUCCUUAGCACCCACCAAGGACUUCCUAAGUGCUGGACCCUGUGCUAAGCCUGUUUCCUGCAUGAUCAUUAAUCCUUAAAAUCUAUGAAGAAAAUCCCAAUAUCUACCCAUUUUACAGAUGAGGAAAGCCAGUUUGGAUGGGUUCAUCAGCUUGCACAGAGGCAGAAGGUAUGGCGUCUGCUGGGAUGACAUCUGUACUGUUUCGGAUGCUUGGAGCCCCCGCAUGUUGUGAUAAUGUGGUGAUUACUCAGCUAACGUAGAUCAAAGAGGAAUUUAAAGUCUUUCAUAUCACAGACUCUUUGUGGUCUUUAGACGAUCA